rnacentral:rRNA from 1 species
UAAGCCGAGAGGAAGGUGGGGAUGACGUCAAGUCCUCAUGGCCCUUACGGGCUGGGCUACACACGUGCUACAAUGGUGGUGACAGUGGGAUGCAAAAGGGCGACCUCUAGCAAAUCUCAAAAAGCCAUCUCAGUUCGGAUUGCACUCUGCAACUCGAGUGCAUGAAGUUGGAAUCGCUAGUAAUCGUGGAUCAGCAUGCCACGGUGAAUACGUUCCCGGGCCUU